rnacentral:rRNA from 1 species
GUCCUUUUGGUAUAAAUAAAAGGUCUAACCUGCCCUAUGAAUAUUAAAUGGCUGCGGUAUCUUGACCGUACAAAGGUAGCAUAAUCAUUAGUUUUUUAAUUAAAAGCUUGUAUGAAAGGUUGGAUGAGAAAAAAUCUGUCUCUGUAAAAAUUAAUUUGAAAUUUAUUUUUAAGUAAGAAAGCUUAAAUAAUUAUAAAAGACGAGAAGACCCUAUAGAGUUUUAUAUUAAAAUUUAAUUAUAGUUUAAGUAUUUUUAGUAUAAUUAAAUUAAAUAUUUAGUUGGGGUGAUUGAAAAAUUAGAUAAACUUUUUUUUAUAAAAACAUUUAUUUAUGGGAAUAUGAUCCAGUGUAAAGAUUAAAAGAUUAAAUUACCUUAGGGAUAACAGCGUAAUUUUUUUUUAGAGUUCAAAUUAAAAAAAAAGAUUGCGACCUCGAUGUUGGAUUAAAAUUUAUAUUUGGUGUAGCAGCUUUAUAAUUAGGUCUGUUCGACCUUUAAAAUUUUACAUGAUCUGAGUUUAAACCGGUGUGAG